rnacentral:rRNA from 1 species
GCUAGAACAACAGGGAUUGCCUCAGUAACGGCGAGUGAAGCGGCAAGAGCUCAACUUUGGAAUCGCUCCGGCGAGUUGUAGUCUGGAGGUGGCCACCACGAGGUGUUCUAGCAGCAGGCAAGUCCUUUGGAACAAGGCGCCAGCGAGGGUGACAGCCCCGUACCUGCUUUUGCUAGUGCUUCCUGUGGCCCACCGACGAGUCGAGUUGUUUGGGAAUGCAGCUCUAAGUGGGUGGUAAAUUCCAUCUAAGGCUAAAUAUUGGCGAGAGACCGAUAGCGAACAAGUACAGUGAUGGAAAGAUGAAAAGCACUUUGAAAAGAGAGUGAAACAGUACGUGAAAUUGUUGAAAGGGAAGGGCUUGCACCCAGACACGGUUUCGGCCGGGCCAGCAUCAAGUAGAACGGGGUUAAAAGACCUGGGGAAUGUAGCUACCUCUUGGUAGUGUUAUAGCCCUUGGGUGAUGACCCCUGUUUUGCUUGAGGACAGCGGUCUCUAGGAUGCUGGCGCAAUGGUUGCAAGCCACCCGUCUUGAAACACGGACCAAGGAGUCUAACGUCUAUGCGAGUGUACGGGUGAAAAACCCCUGCGCGGAAUGAAAGUAAGAGGUUGGAACCCUCUCGGGGGUGCACAAUCGACCGACCCAGAAGUGCUCGGACGGGUUUGAGUAGGAGCAUAGCUGUUGGGACCCGAAAGAUGGUGAACUAUACCUGAAUAGGGUGAAGCCAGAGGAAACUCUGGUGGAGGCUCGUAGCGGUUCUGACGUGCAAAUCGAUCGUCGAAUUUGGGUAUAGGGGCGAAAGACUAAUCGAACCAUCUAGUAGCUGGUUCCUGCCGAGA